CUGGCUUUUUAGCCCAAAGACAACAACAUUCCUUCUCUAAAGUUGCAGGGGAAGGCUGGUCUGGACAUGAAUGUGGCUGAAGCUCAAAACUCCUUCCCCCGGUAGCCUGGUGUGUGGUUAUAUUCUAAGGAAAAUGGCUUCCUGUGUGACUCAUUUGAGAGCACUGUGCCACUAGCAAGCUAUAAUGCUGACAAGUUCCUCGUGAUGGCUAGGAGGAUAGUAGUUGUAUGGAGGAGAAAUUUCCCAGCACCUGAUUUUUAUGGCAUAUGAUCAUGGCAAAACCCGCACCUGCUGCAGCGUGUUUUCCGGCAUGGUUGCUAGCUGAUUGUAACAUUUGUGGGAAGAAGCUUCCUCUUCCUGCACCCUAAGAAAACAUUGUCAUGCUUGUGACAGCAGUGUGUACUUUGGUCUCUGCAACAGGUUUCUGGACCACCUGUUAUCCACUGUGACAUCAUAGGGCAACAUCCCAGCAACAGUGAGUGAAACAGAACAGAUUUUCCAUUUCCUCUCUGGGAACGGUGCCCUUUGAAAAGAAUAGGAAGACAUUCUCAAGGUAGCAAGCGGAGGACUAAGAGUCAUUUACAUUGCCUGUCCUAGGAGAAAUGGCUUAUUUUGGACCCCAAGCUUGUGAAACAGGGCAUUUUGGAUAGAUCCAUGUGUGAGACAGAUUCUAAUUCUAGUUAGGCUCACUGUGGGCAAUUGCAUAGGUAAGAUCAGUCAUAGGUUCUCUUCAAAGGAUGAGUGAAAUGACCAGAACCAUAGGGAUUAUUUUUUGAAUCCUUGAGGUUCUCAGGCUUAGUCUGGCACUUCAAGGAUCCCCUAUAUGCUAUUAAUAAUGUUUCCAUUUUCUUUUCAGGGAUCCUUGUAGUACCAGACUGGGGCUGAGAGCCUCAAGGUUUGUAAAUAAGCCCUGUGGUUCUGGCCAUUUUACUUGUCCUUUAGAGAGAACCACUAAUGCCCUUCCAACCUCAUAAUGAUUGCGGCGAGGAAUAUCAACAAGGAAAUCUCCGUUCAACAGAAGAGAGCUUUGAGGAAAGAGAAGCUAAGAAAGGGAGUAAAUAUGGUCCUUGAGAUCCACAUGAGAAACAGUUUCGAAAGUCAAAGCUUUCUGUUUUUAAGAGCCAAGUUCUGUAAAAGCUAAGAAAAGCACCUUGAGAUUCCAAGGGAAAGACCUUGAAAGAAGCGUGACAUACAGUUUAAACUAGAACAAUGGGUAAGAAAGUGAAAAUGGCAGUACUUCGGAACCCUGGCUGAACAUAGAAUCACCUGGAAGAGCUAUUAAAAUGCCAAUUCCUGGGCCUCGCCCCAGGCUGAUGAAAUCAGAAUAUCUCAGAAUGGUCACUGAACAUUGGUAUUUAAAAACAAAAACAGGCCAAGUGCGGUGGUUCACGCCUGUAAUCCCAGCACUUUGGGAGGCUGAGGGGGGCGCAUCAUGAGGUCAGGAGACCGAGACCAUCCUGACAAACGUGGUGAAACCCUGUCUCUACUAAAGCACAAAAAAUUAGCCGCACGUGGUGGCGUGCGCCUGUAGUCCCAGCUACUCCGGAGGCUGAGGCAGGGAAAUCGCUUGAACCCAGGAGGCGGGGGUUGCAGUGAGUCGAGAUCGCACCAUGGCACUCCAGCCUGGUGACAGAGCAAGACUCCGUUUCAAAAAAACCCAAAAACCAAAACCAAACCAAAACAAAACAAAGUAACAAAUA
rnacentral:lncRNA from 1 species